rnacentral:ncRNA from 1 species
CGACGUAGAUUAUGCUUUAGCUGCAUAAGCAGCGACAAGCACAGUCGUCCUAGCUGGUAACGGCUAGAGAUCAUAAUCGGGUGAAUUGCUGGAAACCCCUUAAGCUUUUCUUGCCACAACGCAGCCGGAAACGGCAGACGUGAGGGCUUUAAAAAAAGAAGAGAUUGGGCAAUCAGCAGCCAAGCUCCUGUCUCGAAAGAGUGGAGAAGGUUCAACGACUAGGAUAUACCAUCUAAGGCGCAAGCUAUGGUGAUGAAAUCCGUAGGUGAAGCAAUGAUCAUCAGCAUUGUGAAUCCGAAGUGCCCGACCCCUACUGGAAUUCCGGAGGGUGAAGAUAUAGUCUGGUCAUUUAUGAAAGUAAAUG